AGGAGCAAGCCCCGUCAGUAUUGAUGGAAGUAAUGGCUCGCCGGCCGCUUAUUAAGUCUGAGAGACAGCCCCCCGAUCAACCGGGGAGGUUCAUAGCAAGCGAGGAACUCCCCGCAGAAGAGGAGAGUGUAUUCGACGCGUAGCGAUGAAGUGAGUACCGAUGAGGAGGAACACCAGCGGCGAAGGCGACUGUAUGCUCAGUAAAUGACGUCGAGGAGAGACAGCGUGGGGAGCGAACAGGAUGAGAUACCCUGGUAGUACACUCGGUAAAGGAUGAGUGGUAAGUGUUAGGGUGUAUCCGCCCCAUAGUGACGCAGGGAAUGCAAUAAGCAUUCUGCGCGGGGAGUACGGUCGCAAGACAGAAACUCAAAGGAAUUGAGGGGGGCCCGCACACGUGGGGGAGCAGGAGGUGCAAUUGGAAGCAACGCGAAGAACAUUACCAGGUAAUGACAUCCUCUGACAAUCUUAGAGAUAGGACGUCCCCUUCGGGGGCAGAGUGACAGGUGGAGCAUGGUUGUAGUCAGCUCGUGUCUUGAGAUGUAGGGUUAAGUCCCGCACAGAGCGCAACCCUUGUUCUAAGUCGCCAGCAUUCAGUUGGGCAUUGUAAGGUGAGAGCCGGUGACAAACCGGAGGAAGGUGGGGAUGACGUCAAAUCAUCAUGCCCGUUAUGACUCGGUCUACACACGUGCUACAACGGACAGAACAAAGGGCAGCGAAACCGCGAGGUUAAGCCAAUCCCUCAAAUAUGUUCUCAGUUGGGAUGGCAGUAUGCAAAUGGAGUGGGUGAAGCCGGAAUCGAUGGUAGUCGC
rnacentral:rRNA from 1 species